AACAGACUCAGCUCCUGUGAAACUUAAUGAGUGAUGAGAACAAGUGAGGUAAAGGCAUGAUAUUCAUAUCCCAGUCAUCCUUGCCUCAUAACUUUCAAGUUACUUUGAAUGAAAGAAAUUAAAAUUCUUCCUGUCCACUGCAUGCCACCAUUACACCACAGACAUGUGUCCACUGCAGCCCAGUGCAUUGCUGGAUGCAACAAUUUGGAUGGUGAGGAUGUUUGGACAAAGGAGCCUGGGCUACCUGGUAAUCUCACAUUUAUGAGCUGCCCACAGAGCAAUCAUGUUGGAAGUGAAAAAAGAGGAAGAUACAUUUCGUUUCCUCCUCAUAUUUGUCUUCCCCUUAUCUUCAUCCAGAGAUGGUAUCUUUGGUCCUCUUGUCAGAAAAAUGUUUCAUACGUGAAGAAUUUCAACACAGUGAUCCAGCAGAUUAAACUCUCACACUUCUCUGUUCUUGGCCUGAAAGCUGAAAAUGAAUAAAGAAAAUGUGUAGUGAGGAGAAGCUUCUAGCAAAAGUAAUUCUCUUGGCUUCAAGAAUGAGGUUUGAGGUGAACAAAUCAACUUGGUGUUCCCAUAUGGGCCCAAGAGGAACUAGUUCAGAUGGGGACUGGGAGGCUCGGCAAUGCGAACUGCUCUGACUGCCAGCUCUGCAACUUUAAAGCCCCAGCAUGUGAGAGCUCACUGGAUAAAGAAGUCCUUCCCAUGACUCCAGCUGCUGGCUCUAUCACUUCUGGCUAAUGAGAGACAGAAGCAGAAGAGGAAGAAGACAAGUGGCAGGAGACGGCAGCAAAGGUGCCACAGAUAAGUAGGGGGGAAGGAUAAAAGGGGAGUGCUAGUCUGUUAGACACUUUUCCCAGCACAGUACCUGAGACCUGAGGCUCAACAGUCUGCUAUCAGCAAAUACCUGUGAAACCACUGAUAAAACUAGCCUGGUAGUCCUUUCAGGGGAUGGCUCAAACAGUUCACUAUUGCCAUCGAUUGCAUCAAGUCACCCACUGCCAGAGACAUGGAGCUUUUAUCCCUUCUGAGAUAGUCAGCAAAGACUAUUCUCAUGACAAUGACUUGGCCAUUUUCAGCUUUGCAUUGUUUAAAAAGGGAAAGUGAAGAAAUUAGACCAGUGUUAAAAUAACACUAAGAUUGCAUAGUCAAGCACCAAAGAGAAGGAACAUACCAGACACAGGCUAUGAAAUGUAUCUGUCUUUGGCCUUCUUGUACCUAUGUAGUAGGAUAUGGCUUCAAAAGAAGUGACUACAUACUCAUUUUCUCUGGGCACCCUGCUUCUCAUUCAGAGCAGAGAAUGGCCAUUACUUAAAACAUCAGAUGUGGUGAAUGUACAGCGUUGUAUAGGACUGCUUCAUCCAGACAUGGAAAAUAUGUCCUGGGUUAUGCAAGGGGCUGGACGAUGGCUUUAGUCUGUCGUUCUCAUAUUCCACCUCAGUACUGGCAUGAAUCACAAAUGCUUUCCAUUACAAUAGAAGUCAUAGGAAACUGCUUUUU
rnacentral:lncRNA from 1 species